GAUGAACGCUGGCGGCGUGCCUAAUACAUGCAAGUCGAGCGAACGGACGAGAAGCUUGCUUCUCUGAUGUUAGCGGCGGACGGGUGAGUAACACGUGGAUAACCUACCUAUAAGACUGGGAUAACUUCGGGAAACCGGAGCUAAUACCGGAUAAUAUUUUGAACCGCAUGGUUCAAAAGUGAAAGACGGUCUUGCUGUCACUUAUAGAUGGAUCCGCGCUGCAUUAGCUAGUUGGUAAGGUAACGGCUUACCAAGGCAACGAUGCAUAGCCGACCUGAGAGGGUGAUCGGCCACACUGGAACUGAGACACGGUCCAGACUCCUACGGGAGGCAGCAGUAGGGAAUCUUCCGCAAUGGGCGAAAGCCUGACGGAGCAACGCCGCGUGAGUGAUGAAGGUCUUCGGAUCGUAAAACUCUGUUAUUAGGGAAGAACAUAUGUGUAAGUAACUGUGCACAUCUUGACGGUACCUAAUCAGAAAGCCACGGCUAACUACGUGCCAGCAGCCGCGGUAAUACGUAGGUGGCAAGCGUUAUCCGGAAUUAUUGGGCGUAAAGCGCGCGUAGGGCGGUUUUUUAAGUCUGAUGUGAAAGCCCACGGCUCAACCGUGGAGGGUCAUUGGAAACUGGAAAACUUGAGUGCAGAAGAGGAAAGUGGAAUUCCAUGUGUAACGGUGAAAUGCGCAGAGAUAUGGAGGAACACCAGUGGCGAAGGCGACUUUCUGGUCUGUAACUGACGCUGAUGUGCGAAAGCGUGGGGAUCAAACAGGAUUAGAUACCCUGGUAGUCCACGCCGUAAACGAUGAGUGCUAAGUGUUAGGGGGUUUCCGCCCCUUAGUGCUGCAGCUAACGCAUUAAGCACUCCGCCUGGGGAGUACGACCGCAAGGUUGAAACUCAAAGGAAUUGACGGGGACCCGCACAAGCGGUGGAGCAUGUGGUUUAAUUCGAAGCAACGCGAAGAACCUUACCAAAUCUUGACAUCCUUUGACAACUCUAGAGAUAGAGCUUUCCCCUUCGGGGGACAAAGUGACAGGUGGUGCAUGGUUGUCGUCAGCUCGUGUCGUGAGAUGUUGGGUUAAGUCCCGCAACGAGCGCAACCCUUAAGCUUAGUUGCCAUCAUUAAGUUGGGCACUCUAAGUUGACUGCCGGUGACAAACCGGAGGAAGGUGGGGAUGACGUCAAAUCAUCAUGCCCCUUAUGAUUUGGGCUACACACGUGCUACAAUGGACAAUACAAAGGGCAGCGAAACCGUGAGGUCAAGCAAAUCCCAUAAAGUUGUUCUCAGUUCGGAUUGUAGUCUGCAACUCGACUACAUGAAGCUGGAAUCGCUAGUAAUCGUAGAUCAGCAUGCUACGGUGAAUACGUUCCCGGGUCU
rnacentral:rRNA from 1 species